AGGGGGGCUUGCAUACAUAUUUCUCAAUUAUAGCACAGUUGGGUUGGUCCGAAGAUGGACAGGGUUCCUCGACCAGAACAAGAUUAUGUCAGUGUUUGAUAGCUCUAACAAGCAACCCAGUGGAGAAACAAGAUAUCUGGAUGAUUUCCAGCCAAGAAAAAACUUGAAAGUGGAGUUUGCCAAUGAUCGUAUAUCUGCAACCGACCAGGAAUGCAUUACAAUAAAUUCAUCGUAAAGGAAAACUUGGUGCAUGAAUACCUGGAGCACUUGCAGAAUAUGCAAAGGAUAAAGGGGAAAAAAACAGAACAAGAGGCAAACGGAAAAAAAACCAGAACAAGACAGAAGACAUAUGAUGACUACUGUAUGAAUGGGGGAAACAAGUACAACCUAAAGAAAUCAGUAAGCUACUAUAUGCGGCAGAACUUGAUAAGUAUCUCAAUUAUCACAAGUUGAACAGGAAAGGAAAGAAGCCGGAUAAGGUAUUCAAAACCAUAGCGUUAAGUAAGUAAUAUAACAGUUUAU